rnacentral:rRNA from 1 species
AACGAACGCUGGCGGCAUGCCUAACACAUGCAAGUCGAACGAAGUCUUCGGACUUAGUGGCGCACGGGUGCGUAACGCGUGGGAAUCUGCCCUUGGGUUCGGAAUAACAGCGAGAAAUUGCUGCUAAUACCGGAUGAUGACGUAAGUCCAAAGAUUUAUCGCCCAAGGAUGAGCCCGCGUAGGAUUAGCUAGUUGGUGAGGUAAAAGGCUCACCAAGGCGACGAUCCUUAGCUGGUCUGAGAGGAUGAUCAGCCACACUGGGACUGAGACACGGCCCAGACUCCUACGGGAGGCAGCAGUGGGGAAUAUUGGACAAUGGGCGAAAGCCUGAUCCAGCAAUGCCGCGUGAGUGAUGAAGGCCUUAGGGUUGUAAAGCUCUUUUACCCGGGAUGAUAAUGACAGUACCGGAGAAUAAGCUCCGGCUAAACUCCGUGCCAGCAGCCGCGGUAAU